UACGAAGGGGGCUAGCGUUGUUCGGAAUUACUGGGCGUAAAGCGCGCGCAGGUGGUCUUUCAAGUCAGUGGUGAAAGCCCGGAGCUCAACUCCGGAAAUGCCAUUGAAACUGUGAGACUUGAGGACGAGAGAGGUGAGUGGAAUUCCCAGUGUAGAGGUGAAAUUCGUAGAUAUUGGGAAGAACACCGGUGGCGAAGGCGGCUCACUGGCUCGUAUCUGACGCUCAGGCGCGACAGCGUGGGGGAUCAAAACAGGG
rnacentral:rRNA from 1 species